GUUUCACAAUUGGAUUAUUCAUCUUUUCUUUUUUUUUUUUUUUAUUUUUAUGACGGAGUCUCGCUCUGUCACAUAGGCUGGAGUACAGUGACGCUGUCUCGGCUCACUACAACCUCCGGCUCCUGGGUUCAAGUGAUUCUCCUGCCUCAGCCUCCCGAGUAGCUAGGACUACAAGUGGGCACUACCAGGCUCAGCUAAUUUUUGUAUUUUUAGUGGUGUUGGCCAGGGUGGUCUUGAACUCCUGACCUCAAGUGGUCUGCCCGCCUCGGCCUCCCCAAGUGCUGGGAUUACAGGCGUGAGCCACCGAGCCUGGCCAGGAUUAUUCAUCUUGUUACUGUUCAUUUGUAGUUAUUUAUAUGUUCUCAAAUAAACCCUUUGUGACACACACACACACACACACACACACACACACACACGCAGAGUCAAUAUUGUUUCCCAGUCUUUGGUUUGCCUAUUAGUUUUGUUAAUGCUGUCUUUUAAUGAGCAGAAAAUUUGAACUUGGAUGAAAUCCAACUUAUCCAUUUUUUUUCUUUUAAAGUUAGUGCUUUUUGUGUCCUGACCAAGAAACCCUUGCCUCUCUAAUGUUGCAAAAAUAUUAAUGUGUUUCCUUUAUAAGCUUGGCUUUGCUUUUUACAUUUAGAUCCAUUUCAAAUUGAUUUUUGAAUCAAUUGCAGCAGUUGACAUAUAUAUUUUUUUCUAUAUCUAUGUCUCAUUGUUUCAGCACCAUUAGUUGAAAGUGCUUUCCUUGGCCAGGCAUGUUGGUUCAUGCCUGUAUGAGCCAACAGCUCCCACUUCCUUUUGGGAGGCUGAGGUGGGAGGAUCACUUGAGGCCAGGAGUUUGAGACCAGACUGGCAACAUAACAGGACUCUGUCUCUACAAAAACAAAAAAAUUAGCCAAGUGUGGUCGUAUGCACCUGUGAUCCCAGCAACUUGGGAGGCUGAGGCAGGAGGAUUGCUUGAGCCCCAGCAGUUGAGGCUGCAGUGAUCAUGAUUGUCUCAAAAAGGAAAAAAAGUGCUUUUACAUGUAUUCCACAAAUAUUUAUUGAGGGCCUACUAUGUGUCAGCCACCCUGCCAACCCCUGAAGAUUCUGUGGGGAAUUUGGCAGACGUCGUCUUGCCCUAUGGAGUUUAGAAACCAGUCCCACAAGAUUAUGCAGGCAAGGGCAGGGGUCUGGGAGCCCCAUUCCUGUCCUGUCUGCCUGUUUCAGGAGCUUCUCCAGGCCUGGGGGGUGGGGGAUAAACCCCACCCAAUGCUUGACCUCUUCCUGGACUGCCAGCCUCAGGAAAUCCUGCCUAUAAUUUGUCACACAUUCCCUUGGGGCUGCUAAGCUUUUAUUUUUAGGAUUUAUUGAGCACCUCCUGUGUGACCCAGGGUCAUCUCAUGAAUUACUCUACCCCAUAACCUGGGGGCAGGGUCAUCCCCAUGGUUUAAAGACAGGGGAUCAUGGUGCAGAGAAGUGAGGUGGCCGCCUGAGGUCACACAGCCAGGAGAGGGUAAGCUGGGAAUGGAAUCCAGCCUGCUGACUCCGAAGCUCACUGACGCCAGGAAAGGACUCUGAACUCAGCAAGGGAACCCCUACCUGUUACAGACGAGAAAGCUGAGCAGCAGGGGGAAACUGUCAGCAGCCAUGGGUGGCAGAGCCCGAGUUUGAACCCGAGCCUGUAAACUGAGACCAAGGACUCUAAGGGGACAGAGCCAGGUUGCCUGCAGGGUCUAGCAGUGGAUACGGG
rnacentral:lncRNA from 1 species